rnacentral:tRNA from 1 species
UCCCUGAUGGCUCAGCAGGUUAAGGAUCCAACGUUGCCACUGCUGUGGCCCAGGUUCCAUCCCUGGUCAGGGAA